CUACGGGGGGCUGCAGUGAGGAAUAUUGCACAAUGGGGGGAACCCUGAUGCAGCAACGCCGCGUGGAGGAUGACGCAUUUCGGUGUGUAAACUCCUUUUAUAUGUCAAGAAAAUGACGGUAGCAUAUGAAUAAGCACCGGCUAACUCCGUGCCAGCAGCCGCGGUAAUACGGAGGGUGCAAGCGUUAAUCGGAAUUACUGGGCGUAAAGCGCGCGUAGGCGGCUAGAUCAGUCGGGUGUGAAAUCCUACAGCUUAACUGUAGAACUGCACUUGAAACUUCUAAUCUAGAGUAUGGGAGGGGGAGAUGGAAUUAGUGGUGUAGGGGUAAAAUCCGUAGAUAUCACUAGGAAUACCUAAAGCGAAGGCGAUCUCCUGGAACAUUACUGACGCUAAGGCGUGAAAGCGUGGGGAGCAAACAGGAUUAGAUACCCGGGUAGUC
rnacentral:rRNA from 1 species